rnacentral:rRNA from 1 species
GAUGAACGCUGGCGGCGUGCUUAACACAUGCAAGUCGAACGAAGUCUUUCGGGACUUAGUGGCGGACGGGUGAGUAACGCGUGAGGAUCUGCCUUCAGGUGGGGGACAACCAUUGGAAACGAUGGCUAAUACCGCAUAUGGCGAGAGCUAAAAGCUUAAUGUGCCUGAAGAUGAACUCGCGUCUGAUUAGCUAGUUGGUGAAGUAAAGGUUUACCAAGGCGACGAUCAGUAGCUGGUCUGAGAGGAUGAUCAGCCACACUGGGACUGAGACACGGCCCAGACUCCUACGGGAGGCAGCAGUGGGGAAUUUUCCGCAAUGGGGGCAACCCUGACGGAGCAACGCCGCGUGGGGGAGGAAUGUCUGUGGAUUGUAAACCCCUUUUCUCAGGGAAGAAGCUCUGACGGUACCUGAGGAAUCAGCAUCGGCUAACUCCGUGCCAGCAGCCGCGAUAAGACGGAGGAUGCAAGCGUUAUCCGGAAUUAUUGGGCGUAAAGCGUCCGUAGGCGGUUUCUCAAGUCUGCCGUUAAAGACUGCAGCUUAACUGUGGGCAAGCGGUGGAAACUGAGGAACUGGAGUGCGGUAGGGGUAGAGGGAAUUCCCAGUGUAGCGGUGAAAUGCGUAGAUAUUGGGAAGAACACCAGUGGCGAAGGCGCUCUACUGGGCCGUAACUGACGCUGAGGGACGAAAGCUAGGGGAGCGAAAGGGAUUAGAUACCCCUGUAGUCCUAGCUGUAAACGAUGGAUACUAGGUGUUGGACGUAUCGACCCGUUCAGUACCGCAGCCAACGCGAUAAGUAUCCCGCCUGGGGAGUACGCACGCAAGUGUGAAACUCAAAGGAAUUGACGGGGGCCCGCACAAGCGGUGGAGUAUGUGGUUUAAUUCGAUGC